CCUACGGGAGGCAGCAGUGGGGAAUUUUGGACAAUGGGCGCAAGCCUGAUCCAGCCAUGCCGCGUGUGGGAAGAAGGCCUUCGGGUUGUAAACCACUUUUGUCAGGGAAGAAACGGUCUUUUCUAAUACAGAGGGCUAAUGACGGUACCUGAAGAAUAAGCACCGGCUAACUACGUGCCAGCAGCCGCGGUAAUACGUAGGGUGCAAGCGUUAAUCGGAAUUACUGGGCGUAAAGCGUGCGCAGGCGGCUUUGCAAGACAGGUGUGAAAUCCCCGGGCUCAACCUGGGAACUGCAUUUGUGACUGCAUGGCUAGAGUACGGUAGAGGGGGAUGGAAUUCCGCGUGUAGCAGUGAAAUGCGUAGAUAUGCGGAGGAACACCGAUGGCGAAGGCAAUCCCCUGGACCUGUACUGACGCUCAUGCACGAAAGCGUGGGGAGCAAACAGGAUUAGAUACCCUGGUAGUCCACGCCCUAAACGAUGUCAACUGGUUGUUGGACGGCUUGCUGUUCAGUAACGAAGCUAACGCGUGAAGUUGACCGCCUGGGGAGUACGGCCGCAAGGUUGAAACUUAAAGGAAUUGACGGCUGAGACGNGCGAGACGACACGAGGGAGGAGG
rnacentral:rRNA from 1 species